rnacentral:rRNA from 1 species
AUUGAACGCUGGCGGCAGGCCUAACACAUGCAAGUCGAACGGCAGCACAGAAGAGCUUGCUCUUUGGGUGGCGAGUGGCGGACGGGUGAGUAAUGUCUGGGAAACUGCCCGAUGGAGGGGGAUAACUACUGGAAACGGUAGCUAAUACCGCAUAACGUCGCGAGACCAAAGUGGGGGACCUUCGGGCCUCACACCAUCGGAUGUGCCCAGAUGGGAUUAGCUAGUAGGUGGGGUAAUGGCUCACCUAGGCGACGAUCCCUAGCUGGUCUGAGAGGAAGACCAGCCACGCUGGAACUGAGACACGGUCCAGACUCCUACGAGAGGCAGCAGUGGGGAAUAUUGCACAAUGGGCGCAAGCCUGGUGCAGCCAUGCCGCGUGUAGGACGAAGGCCUGCGGGUCGUAAAGUACUUUCAGCGGGGAGGGAGGCGGUGAGGUUAAUAACCUUGCCGAUUGACGUUACCCGCAGAAGAAGCACCGGCUAACUCCGUGCCAGCCGCCGCAGUAA